UACGGGGGGAGCAAGCGUUGUUCGGAUUUACUGGGCGUAAAGGGUGCGUAGGCGGGUCUUUAAGUCAGGGGUGAAAUCCUGGAGCUCAACUCCAGAACUGCCUUUGAUACUGAAGAUCUUGAGUUCGGGAGAGGUGAGUGGAACUGCGAGUGUAGAGGUGAAAUUCGUAGAUAUUCGCAAGAACACCAGUGGCGAAGGCGGCUCACUGGCCCGAUACUGAUGCUGAGGCACGAAAGCGUGGGGAGCAAACAGG
rnacentral:rRNA from 1 species